rnacentral:SRP_RNA from 1 species
GCCGGGCGCGGUGGCGCGUGCCUGUGGUCCCAGCUACCGGGAGGCUGAGGCUGGAGGAUCGCUUGAGUCCAGGAGUUCUGGGCUGCAGUGCGCCAGGCCCACCGGGGGUCUGCACUGAGUUCGGCAUCAGUAUGGUGAGCUCCCAGGAGCCGGGGACCACCAGGUUGCCUACGGAGGGCUCAAGCGGCCUAGGUCAGAAAUGGAGCAGGUCAAAACUCCCGUGCCCAUCAGUAGUGGAAUUGCACCUGUGAAUAGCCACUGCACUCCAGCCUGGGCAACAUAGUGAGGCCCCGUCUCA